rnacentral:lncRNA from 1 species
UCUUGGCAAAUAGAUCCCACUCUCUGAGGGUUGUGUUGGGGCUCAGAAAAUACUACCCCGAAGUAUGACACUUUGGCAUGCUGAAUACUUUGAACUAAAAGAGAUUGGAAGGCCUCAGAAGCAGCCUCGGAAGCAGUCUCUCCCUCUGAUCUCCUGCCCUUCUGUCUCCUGCCCAUCUUUCGUCCCAGAAGUGAGUCACAGAAACCAGAAUUCUUCCCCAAGGGAGGAUUCCUACAUGGAGUGGGAGACUGAAAUAAUAACCUCAAAGAUGCCUUCCAAUCAGAAGAUUUGGUGAUUCUUUCUGAGUUAUCAAACUGCCUUCCUUUGACCUUGCUCACAUGUAGAAAUCCAAGUCAGGGUCAUGUGAAGAGGUCUUUACACAUAGACUCUAACUAUGACAUCAAUCCUGAAACUGGGAGAGGACAAACCUGAGAUAAAAGCCUCCUAAAGAAUCACAAAAAGAAAGACCCUAGCUGUCUGAAUGAUCUGAGCUAAGUCCCCAGACGUGCAAGUGUGGCCAUCCUAGACCACUGAGCUCCAGCCAAGCCAGCUUGCAUCAGAAGAACUGUCCAGAAAACUCACAGAAUCAUAAGAAAUAAUGCAGGGCAGCUUAACUUGGACUCACCACCUAUCAAGUGCUCGACAGCCACGUGUGCAGUGGUUCCUACGUGGAGCAGCAUACAUCCAGAGAUGCAAAUAUUAAUGAGGACAGUGCUAGUAACAGAGUUGCUGAGCAAUCUAUGUCCCCUUGUAAGAACCAGUGCCCCAGGGGAAGAAACAGAACUCCACAAGGUAGCAGUGUGGGUGUAGUACCCGCAUGUGCCCAUGUUAUGGGAAUGUAGAUGGGGAGUGACCACCGCCAACAGAAGUGUGGCCAUCUUGCCCGAGAUGCCUGAGGACCUCCUAUUUUUAGAUGCUGCUGCCCAAGGCCUGUAUUUCAUGCUAUGGCUUUUGUCAUUUGAAUUAUCAGUAGCUGUCUCGGAGCUAUUACGCUUCACUGGGCCCUGGAGGAUAUUGUCUUAUACAGUCCACUGGGUUUUGGAUAUGCAGUCUGUGCCUUGCAUUCUCUGUGCCAGCAGUGACAAAGGAAGAGAGUCUGUGGUCUCAUAGAGCUUAUCAUG